rnacentral:tRNA from 1 species
CGGUAGCUCAAUGGCAGAGCAGCUGAUUUGUAAUCAGCAGGUUGUGGGUUCAACUCCCUCCCG